rnacentral:rRNA from 1 species
CACGCCGUAAACGAUGGAUACUAGGUGUAGGGGGUAUCGACCCCCCCUGUGCCGGAGUUAACGCAAUAAGUAUCCCGCCUGGGGAGUACGGCCGCAAGGUUGAAACUCAAAGGAAUUGACGGGGGCCCGCACAAGCAGCGGAGCAUGUGGUUUAAUUCGAAGCAACGCGAAGAACCUUACCAGGGCUUGACAUCCCACUGACAGGUAUAGAGAUAUACCCUUUCUUCGGGACAGUGGAGACAGGUGG